UUUUAUUUUGAUAGCAGGCUUGACAUAAAGUUUUAUUUUCUGUUGUUUAUCAGUGAAUGGUUGGUGAAGUAAUGAUUGAAGGAGAUAUUAAAUUGUUGUUUGUGAUAUCAAGUGGCUUGCCUACAAUAAAGAACUAUGAGCAUGUCAUUGAUUUGCAAAUGCUUUCACUACUACCUGUUAUUAAUCAUCCGAUUUCUUACUUCUUCCAUUUAUGGAGGAAUGACGUGAAGAAAGUCCUCCCUAUUCUUAAUCAUCUGAUUUCUUACGCCUUUCAUGUAUCUGUGGAUAUAGCGAGAGAAGUUACAUGAAACACAAAAGAGGGGAGCU
rnacentral:lncRNA from 1 species